rnacentral:pre_miRNA from 1 species
AGGGGAAUAGCUGGGUUGAAUGGUGGUUCCAUUCCCAGAUUUCUACGGAAUCUCCAUACUGCUUUCCAAAUUGGCUGCACCAAUUUGCAGUCCCACCAGCAAU